rnacentral:rRNA from 1 species
GACGAACGCUGGCGGCGUGCUUAACACAUGCAAGUCGAGCGGAGCGGCGAACGGGUGAGUAAAGCGUGAGUAACUGCCCCCCUCCCUGGGAUAACAGCUGGAAACGGCUGCUAAUAACGGAUAGUGGGGGAUGACUCGUGUCCUAUUAGCUUGUUGGUGGGGUAGUGGCCGACCAAGGCGACGACGGGUAGCCGACCUGAGAGGGCGGACGGCCACAAUGGGCUGCGAUACGGCCCAAACUCCUACGGGAGGCAGCAGUGGGGAAUAUUGCACAAUGGGGGAAACCCUGAUGCAGCAACGCGCGUGCGGAAUGACGGCCUUCGGGUUGUAAACCGCUUUCAGCCAUGACGCGGUAGUGGCAGAAGAAGCACCGGCUAACUACGUGCCAGCAGCCGCGGUAAUAC